CCAUCCAUAUCCAUGGGGUAGUGGACAACUGUUCUGAAAAUUGGUUACAUACCCAAAGCUGCUACUUUGAUGAUAAUAGCCUCGAUAUUAGAUGCUAUCAUCUCUCGGAGCAAAUCUUCCUGGUUUCUCUGCCAAAGUCUCACCUACAUUUUAAUUUCCUUGAUGAGUUAUUCUGACUGAAGUAAGACUGAGGCAUUCUGAACAUUUCUCUGAAGAUGAUGAAGCUUCCCUGAAGCAAUGCUGGAAUGAUUGGAUGCUGUUACUGAGAAACACAGUACUUCCAAACACUGUGACGGCAAGUUAAAGAUUUGAUUAAUUGAAUCACAUCUAAAAUCAUAUACAAGAUACUGACAACACUGGUUGGACCUAAUGGAGGAGAGUUGAGUAGGAAAUGCAGGGACAAACAUGGAACAGAGACUAAAAGGAAGGCCAUCCAAUGACCGGCCUAACUUGGGAUCCAUCCAAUGUGCGCACACCAAAUCUUGACACUAUUACUGAGGCUGUAUUGUCCAGAAAGGAGUUCUAAGAAGUUCUACCAGCAAUUAUCUGAGCUCAGAGUCGACUUUCGGAAUUCCUAUGAGGAACAUGAAGAACUGAGGUAAUUCCGUAACUGUGUGGGAGGGUUCAGAUUUGUACACAACAACAUGAAGCGACUCCUUUGGAAGUAGGUUGGAAAGGUGAGUCAUAAAUUAUCUCCUGGCAGAGCAUAUGCAAGAGUCGGACCGACUGGCAAUGGUUAGUGUCAACUGGAGCAAGCCACUGGGAGAUGAGGACGAUUACAAAGGUGACUGCUGGGUGUACUCAUGAUCUUUGUCGUGUUUCUAUUAAUGCUAAAGUCUCAACUUGGGCCCUUAAACUAAAAAUUCUGUGGAAUAUUUAAGCAAGACUUUUUUUUUCUUUUUUUCGGAGCUGGGGACCGAACCCAGGGCCUUGCGCUCGCUAGGCAAGCGCUCUACCACUGAGCUAAAUCCCCAACCCCUAAGCAAGACUUUUUACUGCAAGGUCUAUAGUUAAAUUUUACAUUUCCUGUGUUAAACGUAUUUUCUUUAUUUUCUUUUUCUUUUGUUCUUUUAUUGGAUUUUUAUUUAUAUUUCAAAUGUUAUCCCCUUUCCUGGUUUCCCUUCCAGAAACCUGCUAUCCCAUUACCCCUCCCCCUACCUCCAUGAGGGUGCUCCCCUACUCAUCCACCCACUCCCUCCCACCUCCCCAUCCUGACAUUCCCCUACACUAGGGCAUCAAGCCUUGACCAAGGGCCUCUUGUCCCACUGAUGCUCAAUGAGGGCAUAUGCAGCUGGAGCUAUAGGUCUAUCACUGAGUGCCCUGGGGAUGGUGGUUUAGUCCUUGGAAGCUCUGGAGGCAGGGGGGGUGGUCUGGUUGGUCAUAUUAUUGUUCUUCUUAUGGGGUUGCAAACUCCUUCAGCUCCUUCAGUCCUUUCUCUAAUUCCUCUAAUUCCCCGUUCUCAAUUAAACCGUUGGCUGCAAGCAUCCGACUCUAUUUGUCAUGCUCUGGCAGAGCCUCUCAGGUGACAGCUACAUCAGGCUCCUGUCAGCAUGCACUUCUUGGCAUCUGCAAUAUUGUCUGGGUUUGGUGACUGUAUAUGGGAUGGAUACCCAGAUAGGCAAUCUCUGCCUUAGUCUCUGCUCCAUACUUUGUCUCCAUAUUUCCUCAGGUGAGUAUUUUUGUUUUCCCUUCUAGGAAGGACUGAAGUAUCCACGGUUUGGUCUUCCUUUUUCUUGAGUUUCAUGUUAUCUGUGAAUUGUAUCUUGGGUAUUCAGAGUUUUGGACUAAUAUCCACUUAUCAGUGAGUGCUACCAUGUGUGAUUUUUUGUGAUUGGGUUUCCUCACUCAGGAUGAUAUUUUCUACUUCCAUCCACUUGCCUAUGAAUUUCAUAAAGGCGUUGUUUUUGAUAGCUAAGUAGUAUUCCAUUGUGUACAUGUACCACAUUUUCUGUAUCCAUUCCUCCGUUGAAGAAUAUUUUCCAGCUUCUGGCUAUUAUAAAUAAGGCUGCUAUGAACAUAGUGGAGCAUGUGUCCUUGUUAUAUGUUGGAGCAUCUUUUGGGUAUAUGCCCAGGAGUGGUAUAGCUGGGUCCUCAGUUAGUACCUUGUCCAAUUUUCUGAGGAACCACCAAACUGAUUUCCAGAUUGGUUGUACAGGCUUGCAACCCCACCAGCAAUGGAAGAGUGUUCCUCUUUCUCCGAUUUAGGUUAGAGACAGUUGAACAGGCACAGGCACAGUAGUUGACCACCCAAAAACCCAGUUCCCUGGAAUCUACCUUGAUAGUCAAAUAGUUUUCCCUUUCCCUUUCCAUGCUACCAAACAAUGGAUGUCUGGUGGAGGAAUAAUGUUACUGCUUAAAUUUCUGGAAAGACUGUAAACAAACUCAAUUCAUUCUAUGACUAUUGGCCUGACAGGACUUUGUGUCACAUAUCAUAUGUGACAGUAUUUUCUCUAUCUAACUAGAGGUGAGAAAUGUAUACUAUGAGACAACAAUGGGACACUGUUUGCUUAUGCUCAGUCCAUAUUAUAUUACUUACUUUUUGUUAGGUAACAGAUUAAACCUACUUCUGAGUCUAGCACUUAACAAUUACCCUUUUUCAUUGGCUCAGUUUCUGUAGGUUAGAAGCUCAGCUGGGCUUCCCUAGGUGCCCUGGCUCAGGUUCUCUAACAGAAACUGAACCUCAUGGAAAGACUUGAUUGAUGAAGGAUCCAUCUCCAAGCUCACCCAUAUCAUUAUUGAUAGGAGUCUAUUUUUUAUGGAGUAUUGGACUGAGGGCCUGAGCUCUUUGCUAGCCUGGAUAUUUCUGUCAUGUUCAUGCUCUUGGAGAAUAUUAAAAAUGGGUGCCAGUAAGAACCCAUCUUGAUACUGUCUAUUCAUAAGUGUGUUCUUUCUAGCUCACGCUUCAGUUUUCAUGAGAAAAUGGAUACACUAUUCAUUUUUAUGUCUACCUCAGAGGCUGCCUCUAUUACUUUCACCUUAUCUAUCCUUCUCUGGAAUAAUAGGGAUUCUGUCUGGAUUGCAACAUUCACCCCUGUUGCACAGGUUUUUAUUUGUUUGUUUGUUUGUUUGUGUUUGUAUGUUUGUGUUUGUUGUUGUUGUUGAGAUUUGCAGAUGGGUGACUUGGACAGAAGGGAGAGAACACAAGGAGAAAUCAGAAAUUUCCUCACUUUCUUAUUAUCUUACAUGUAGGGUUCUGAAAUAUCUGGGUUCCUUAGGAAUACAGCUUCUGCCUCCUGGCUCAUCCCCACAGCUCUAGAGCUCACUGAGUUCUGGUGAGUCUUGGUGUUACUAUUCUCACAUCCCAUGUCCAGGAAUAAGGAUGUUUCAGCAUUCUGGAUUUUCCAGUGCUUGGAUGCAUUAGCAUCUUAUGAUGACUUGAAUUGCAACGUCUUUCUCAUAGGCUUGGGUUUUUGAACCCUUGGUCCCCAGUUGGUGCCACUGUUUGAGGAAUUUGCAGAGGUAAGGCUUGCUGUAGGAAGCUUGGCAACUGGGAAACCACAGAAAGUUUAAAGCCUUUGGUUUGCUUCCAGUUCCAUCUCCUUCCUUUGUGAGCACAGAAAGAAGAUUUCUCUGUUUUCUUUUCUGCCACCUACUUCCUUGUUCUUUACCCCCCUGUUUUUAACUCUCUUUUAGGAGUAUAAGUAAAAUAAACUUUCUUCCUUAAAUUGCCUUUGGUAAUGAUACUUUAUUGAAAGAAAACAAAGUUAACUAAGACAUUUCUUCCUUUUGCUUGAACUCUAUUCAUCUAUAAAUGUUCUUUUCACUAAAUCAUUUUUAUUUCUGUGAUAAAACUUUAAAUAUCAUGUGUCUUAUAGAAGAGUUUUUACACACACACACACACACACACACACACACACACACACACACACACAGCCCUCAUCUGACAUAGCUAAGUAAGGGGAGGUGUGAGACACAGUCCCUACCCUAGGAACAUUGCUAGGCCUUUGAUCCCCACAAGGAUGAUGGCUGUUAGCUGGAAACUGAUUUGCUGUCUCUUUAUUUUCAGUCUUUCAUUCUGGGGAAUAUACUUCCUCCAUUAAUCUGAGGUAAUCAUAAAUGUAACAAACUAGUUCCCAGGAAUGAGGAAUAAAUGGAGGUAGUCAUGAGGCUGUGGAGGAAGAUGAGGAACAAACCUUCUGAUGGACCAUGAGAAAGGAUCUAGACAACAGAACCACAAACACCAAAAAGCAUGCAUGGUCCUUGUAGAAAUACUUCAUUGCCACACUUGGCCUUGAAUUUGGAAUUAUGACUGUUGCAUUAAUUAGCCAGGGUGAACUUGAGGACAUCAAGGAUAGAAAGUUAAAGUGGUCUCAAGAAAAAAGUCUUGGCUUAGAAAAGAAAGAAUUUAUAAAAUACAAGCAAAUGAUAGAUGGGUUUAUGAUAUAGGAAAAAGACUUGUAUAUGAUCUAGAAAUAAGGAGUAUUAGAAGGAAAGUAUAUGAGGCCAUGGGCUUGCUAGGAUGAGGAAACAAAGGUUAGAGAAUUAGCAUGAUAUAUAAGCAUACAAAAGUUAGUACUUUGUUCUCCUGGUCGCUUGAGGGAUUGGAGAUGACAAUGCCUAGAGAGAUAUCAGAAAGAGCUAGCUGCUUUACUUGCAUAAAUUUUAAAACUCUGUAAGAAAUCCUUUUAACCUUAAUAGUCCAUCCCUUUCUAUUCUUAAGUGGAAGUAGUUACUAAGGACUGCUGUCUGCUGUGCCAGGGUUCCACAGGAGCUGCGCCCAGACACCCGUGAGGAACAGGCUGUGUAAAACAUAAGGAACUGUGAUUUUGCUUUGUGUUUACUUUCUGGUUUUAGGAAGCAUGGAUUGGAACUAAUGAUCCAGUAUUCAUAGAAUUUAUGUAAAUUUAAGGAUUUCUAAAGAUAUUAAUAAUGGUCAAAGCCUUGAAUAUGUGACUUUAGUAAAGGAAAGCCUAGGUUCAGGCUCUCUGAUCAGAAGGCAGAAGAAUUAUGAGAGAGGAGAAGGCAAAAGCAUAAGAAGGAAGAAGGCAAAGGAAUGAGAAGGGAGAAGGACGGAUGGAGAAGAAAGGAAUGGUGAGAAUCCUCUGUAACAGAGAGCAUACCUCGACUGCCAGCUUGCCUUCACUACUGACUCCAAGUCAUUGAAUUAGCACUGCUCCCAUUCCUGCUUCUUUAGGUCCUUCCCCAUGAUGAGGCUAGUCCUUGGCACUGUACAUCACACACACACACACACACACACACACACACACACACACACACACACCUUAUUGCUUGACAUAGUUGUCACAAUUCAAAUAGAUGUGAAUAGAUUAGAGUGAAACUUAUUUGAAUAACAUGGUAACAAGAGAUUUUGAGUUAAAUAAAAAUCUGCAUUGAUGCUAAAACAUGCAUUUUAUGCUUUGUCUAAGACCUUUAGGGAAAAACUAUUUAAACUAUCUUUGUGGAAAAGUGAUAAAUUUAAAUUAGUAAUUGUUCUUCUAGAAGGGGAAGAAAAGAGAAUUAUGCUUGAGUGAGGAGAGUAAGAAUCUAACAGUAUGCUGGACUUAUUUUUCAGGGGAUUACUAAGUUUAUUGAUGCAAAAAUACAAAAUAAACAAUUAACUUAGUGAUGUAGCUGAAGUGUGUUUUAUACCAUUACUCUACCUGAGCUUAUUCUAACUGCAUGCACUAUGAAAAUUAACCUAUGAAUUUUAAAAUGGUGUUAAUAAUUUGGGAAAACGAAACUGAAAUUUAAAAGCAUUUAAAAAUUUUACUCAAAAAUACUUAAACGUUCUGUGAGAAACUGCAACCCACUGAAAAAGGACAGUCAAAUAUUUCCUAAGUUAGAUUAGCUUACUCUGCAAGAUAUAAUAUUGUGGAAAUUUGAUAUUUUCAUUUUACUUUGUCGGGGCAAAGUACCAUAUUUUCUGUGAUGCUGGCUUGUGUCCUUUUGCAACCAUAGUAAAAAAAAAUCCCCUUAAUGUUCUGGGUUUUAAUUUCCUUGUCAGUAUGAUGCAAAUCCCAAAGACCAUCUGUUUUCAGUAGGAAAAAAAAUGUGUUGCACAGCCUUGCAAGUGAUUUUUACAAAAUUGACUUGCUCAAUAUUUUUGUACCUGCCCUUUGCUUCAAAAUGUGUUAUUUGAACAAUGAAUUUGUGGUUUUCAGUCCUCAUGGCACAUUUAUGCUUACUUCCAUGGGUAAGCAUGUAUGGAAACAUUUGGAACUCUGGGAAAGAACAUGGUAGGUGGACACUGGUUCGUUCAAAAGCAUUGCAUCCCAAUUUAUUGUAAGUGUAAUUUUAGAAAGACCAAUUACUCAGCUAGUUUAUGUUUGUGUUUCUUUUCUAUUUUUUUUCCUUUUUAAUCUCUAGGAGUACCUUUCUUGUCUUAAUUGACAAUUUUAGUACUAUAGCAUUAGUACCAACAUCUCUCAUUAAUACAACCUAAAAUGGUUUUUCAUAAGGCAUAAAAAUACCUAAAAUAAUGAUGAGUCAUCUUCAUGAUGGUUGUAAUCAAGAAGACAAUUAAAAAAAUAAAUGUGAAUUAGGUGACCCAAACUAAAACUGUUCAAUAAGAAUCUCUGAUACUAAAAUCUUUGGUGUUUUAAUUAUGUCUGCUCUUCCUUGAUGAACAUACCUAUAACGUGUGUCUUUAAAACUGCAUAAUCUAAGCUGUACUUAGAAACUGAAACUAUCUUACAGCGUCCUUAACACUAAAACAUCUAGAGAACUGUUUAUUUAAUAAUAAAAAUAUCUUAUACCAUAUCCUGCAAAGAUAUUUUUUCAAAAAACAUGAUAGUUGUGGAAUAGUCUAAAGAAAAACUCCACAAAUCCAUCUAUUUUUUCAAAAGUCAAAAUAUUAUAUUGGAAAAUCUGUUACCCACUCACCUGCCAAGUUCUAAGAUUAGAAAUCUUUGUUUGCACUAUAAUAGAUGACACAAUUGAAAGCUUCCAUUUCAGAUGUUUCCGCUAUAAUUAUUUUCUAAAUUAAGAACUAUUAUAAGUCAUCCAAGCUUACAGUACUAGAACCAAUGCUUUGUGACUAUUUCCCCCUUCAUUUGUUUGUGUACAUACAUGCCCAACUCCCCACUAGACAGUGACUCAACAGUGCCUGCUCUCAGUAUUGCUCAUAGCUUUAAAAAUAUACAAACACAUAUACAUUCUUAUAUACAUUCUUGUGGCUCUGCUAACCAGGUUUUCCUGAGGAGGGAAACUGUGUUUUCUUCCUGUACAACCCUAUCCUACCGUUUGUGAUCUGAGGAGGAAAGAAGUGUGGUCGGGAAUUCAUACGGCCAAUCCCGGCAGGAGGACAAAGACCCAUGCUUUUAUUAUUUGUUACUCGUCUGAGCAAGAGUACUGGAGCCAGGAAACUGAGCUUUGAAACCUACUUUGCUAUAAACACAUGCUAUUGCUGCAAGCCCACAGAUGACAUGCUGUUGGAGAAUCAUUAUGUGGACAAUACAAAAUGCUAUUCAAGGACUUUGAUAAUUAUGAGACUACUCAAUUUAGAUAUUAAAGGAACGGAUAAUUUGAAAACUUAAAAUUAUCUUAUAUGCAGAGUGUUUUGUGUGACAUAUAUAUGUGGACCAUAUUCAGGCAGUGCCUACAGAAGCUGGAAGAGAGUAUCAAGCCUGGCACUGGAGUUCAGUCAUGGACCACUGUGUAUAUGACAGGAAUGUACUCUGGUCUUCUCCAGAUCAGCAAAUGCUCUUAACUUCUGAGUCACCUCUCCAAAUCCAAGCUACAGCAUUUUAAAUGGGGGACAAAUUUGAUUAAUCUUACGUUGUAGUCUCAAUUUUACAAUUCAAAAUGUAGAACUAGCAAGGAAGCUGUUGUGACACGAUUUGUUUUGUUGCCAUUAUCCUACAUAGCUUGUAUAAAAACAUGUGUGUCUGCACCUACCCCUGAGUAAUCAUUCAGUAAGUAUUCUUACUAAAUUAUUAAUAGCACAGGGGCUUUUGCUCUAAGGACUGAAAUAUUUAGGGGAAAUGUUUAUUAAGAAGGAAAAUUUUGCCUAUUGAAUGACUGUCUCCUAUCUACCUUUCUUUGUUUUCUGCUCUUUAAAAAGGUGAAUCAACCCUGUGUAGAUGCAAAAUUUUUCUUAUCUUCUUUUUACUGAUUAUAGUUUCCCCUUCUCCAACUCUUCCCAGUUCUUACUCAUCUUUCCUUCCCUGUAGAUCUACACCCUUUCUUUUAAAAUUAUCUUUAUGCAUUUGAUUUGUACUUAAUGUUUCCCUGCUUAUGGUGUGGGGAUAUUCUGCUUGCACAAAAAAAUAAAAAAAAUGGAAAAGGGCCCUCUCAUUUUAGUGUGCCGCUCUGAGGAUGCUGACUCCUCUCAUUCAAAUGCUGCGGGAGUGGAGGGUAGCCAUUACAGUGAAGAUGAGGCAGCGGACAUUUGAGUUCCAUCCUGAACUCAAUACAACGUGUAGAAAAUGAACACUGGUUCAAGUUGAGGACACAAAUGGCAACACUUGAAAUAAAUGGGAAGAUUCAAACAGAAACCUAUUAGAAAUCUCGAAAGAUAAUUAACCCAAGGGUAUCAAGCUCCCAGCACACAGUGGGAGAAGGUGGGCUGUGCAAACAGAAGUUGCAUUUCCAUGAGUGUGGCAUAAGCAAGGAGCUAACGGUGUUUAGUCUUCUUCUGGAAAGAUUUAUUUAUCAUCAUUUACAUUUAUUGACUGUAGACACUUUCUUUGUGCAUCAUGGCUGAAGGUUUCUUUUUUUUUUUUUCCUUUUUUCUUUUUUUCGGAGCUGGGGACCGAACCCAGGGCCUUCCGCUUGCUAGGCAAGGGCUCUACCACUGAGCUAAAUCCCCAUGGCUGAAGGUUUCUUUUUUUUUUCUUUCAUGUAAAUGCUCCGAGACUCCAGUUUUGCAACGAGCUCCCACCAGAAUCUGGCUACUUCUGACCCUUGGUGUUUACACAUUUUCUUUUGUACUGUGUCUUGCUUGUUAAUUGUUUUCUUCAAAGGAAGACCAUCUGGUACAAUCAUGGUCUAUGCUUCCAGGAAUAUAGACCCGAUUAUUCUUCAUUAUUCUAUCAGAUUUUCUAGACAACAUCAGCAAAAAAAAAAAAAAUAACAUUUGGGUAACAAUUUUUUAUUGUCUUUUGACUCUGAAGACUGAACAAUAGAACCUGGAAUCAAAUACUUUCCACUGAACAAUGAUUAUCUAUUUUCCAUAUUUAUGUUUGCCUUUAUUAUAGAGCUUUUCUGGGCGGCAGGAAUUAUGCUUUUGUGCCUUAAAUAAAAACUGAACAUUUUGUAAAACUUGAAAAUUAUGUUGUAUAAAUUUGGUCAAUACAAUUUCAAAAAACCCCCAAAAAAUCUAAAUAGUUGUUACAAAUUUUCAGGAUACCUUAAUAAAAAAUUCUACAUAAAUAUUUGGAGGGGUAUAGAAAAUACUCUUGAGAAGAUGCCCAUAGAUUCUGUGAAAAUAAGUUAUUUGCCCAAUAUAAUUUGACUAAUAUCACUGAAUAGGGUUCUAUGACAGUCUUCAAUUAUCCAAGUCAACCUUCAGAAGAACAACAAAUGUUUAUGAAACAAGCAGAGAGAGAGAGAGAGAGAGAGAGAGAGAGAGAGAGAGAGAGAGGAGAGUUGACUGCAAAACAGAGUACAUAUCAAUAUGUGAUGGUUUGUAUAUGCUUGGCCCAGGGAGUGACAUUUUUUAGGAGGUGAGGCCCUGUUGGAGUAGAUGUGUCUGUGGACAUGGGUCACUUUAAGACCUUCACUCUAGCUGCCUGGAAGCCAAUAUUCUCCUAACAGCCUUCAGGUGAAGAUGUGGACCUCCCAGCUCUGCCCUCUGUAGCACUCUAGGCUCUGCUUGACUCUACUCCACUGCUGCUGCUAUUCUUGGUGAUCAUACCAUGGUACGUGAAUCUCCAAUAUUGGGAUCUUCUGCUGCAACUAGACAUCAUCAAUCCUCUCAUAGAUUCUCUUGAUGGUUGCAAGCCUGUUUUGUUGCAUGACCCUUUCAGUACUGAGCCAUCAACUGCAACUGAGGCUGCACAUUUACCAAUGGUCUUCCCUGGACUCUCACAGUGCCAAGCCUCAGCUGCUCUCCAUGACCCCUUCAUACUUUCAAAACCAGUGAUUCUUACAUAUCACCAAGUCCAGCUGCAGCGCAGGUACAAUCUUGUCUAUCUCUAGAACACAGCCUCUUUGUGCUCUCAGAAAACACUUGCCGGAAGAUUUCAUCUUAGUGAUGCUGGCGUCUUCCUAAUCACUCCUUUUUUCCUUUUUUUUUUUUUUUUUUUUUGCUCCACCUAACCAGUAUCAAUUGUCCCACUCGUCCCGUUUUGACUCUAAAUCCAGAACUACAUGGUUGAAGCUGCUGAGUUCUGCUGCUUGCUUGAAUUGGGAAACCCCCCAUCCCACCACCUUAUUCUAUUACAAGUUUUCUGUUUCCAACUCCCUCACUGCCUAAGCUUGGCUGUUCUGACACUUACUUUGUAAGUUUGUAGAUUGACCUUAAACUCAGAUGUCUAUAAUGGCUCUGUCUCCUGAAUGCUGGGAUUAUAGUCAUGUACCACCACGGCUGGAUUUAAGGUUUUCCUCACCCAGAACUUGCUCUGCCCCAGACUGGCCUUGAACUCAGAGAUCUGCUUGGCUUUGUCUCCUGGGAUUACAGAUGUGUACCACCAUGCCUUAAAUUUAGCUGGGUGGGCUCUUACUCCGAAAUCUCACUCCCUUAAUCUGUUAUAGAAUAUAGGAUGUAGUUCCAUUCUACUUCCUGGUGGCCCUUUAACACUUGGACCAUGCAGUCUGCAUUUUUCCUUCCUCAGUUUGCUUCUUUUUAUUAAAAUACUCUUUAUAAGAGGGAACAUUAUUAACCACACAACAGAAUUUAUACCAGACUGUUUGGAGGCUUCCUUUUUCAAAGCAAUCUAAAUCUCUUCACCUUUGCUGCAGGCAGACUCUUCAGACAAUGGCAAAAAGCAGCCACAUUUUCACCAAAAUACCACAAAAAUGGUCUCCAUGCCACAUACAGAACUGCUUCUCCACUGAAAUCUCUUGGGUCAGGUCUGCACAGUUCAAAUCAUUUGCAGCAACAAAGUCUUCUAUAUUCUUCCUAGGACAGGCAAUUAAGCCCCACUUAAGGGAUUCCACUGUUUUCCAAAUACAAAAUCCCAAAAUCCAUAUUCUUUGAAGCUAAAGCAUGGUCAGGCCUAUCAGCAAUACCCCAGUCUCUGCUACCAACUUCUGUCUUAGUUAGGGUUUUUACUGCUAUGAAACAGAUACAUACCAUGACCAAGGCAACCUUUAACUUGGGCUAGUUUAUAGGUUCAAAGGUUCAGUCCAUUAUCAUCAAAGUGGGAUCAUGGCAAUGUCCAGACAGGCACGGUGCAGGCAGAGCUGAGAGUUCUACAUCUUCCUCUGAAGGCUGCUAGGAGAAGACUGGUUUCCAGGCAGCUAGGAUGAGGGUCUUAAAGUCCACACCCACAGUGGCACACCUACUCCAACAGGGCCACACGUCCUAAUAGUGCCCCUCCCUGGGCCAAGCAUAUACAAACCACCACACAAUACAAGGACCCCAAGAAGAUGUAGCAGCAUUAGACGAUAGAGGCCAGCAGCAAAAUGACUGGCAAGAAGUGUAGCUAGAGAAGGGAAGAGCUAGAAGUUCUUGUGGAGCCUUCCUUGGGUGUGCAGUCUAGCCAGCAUCUCCUUUUGGUCUCUAGAAAUCCAAGAGAGUGUCUCUUGCUUUGUGCCACUGAGUUUGUGAUAAUUUGUUAUAGCAGCCACAGAAAACUAACAUACUGUCACAUGUUCUCUUUAAUUCAUUAGAUAUAAGUAGACAGUGUGGAGUGAAACACACGUGAGAAAGAAUGAUUAUCUGGUUUGUAACUAUUUUAUAGAUUGAUGAUUGCCCUUCUCUGCCUAUCAUCACUCCAACCGUUUUACCUAUCCCAGCAGAGCUUUGAUUAUUUAGUGUGAAGGCACGUUUAACUUCGUGCCCGUUCUUAUCACCCCAAGCUCUCUAAUUCACUAGUCAGGAUAUGAUGCUAUCUGUACCCCCGUGGCAAUUUUACAUAUAAGCAAGACCUGCCAAAUACUUCAUAGAAGCAGUAGGGUCAGAUAAGGAACACUUGGUGUUGGGAGAAAAGCAGUGGAUUUGGAGUCUGGUACAUCCAAAUUUGAAUUCUUGGUCUAUUAUGAGGUUUGAGACCUUUAUCAUCUCUGGGUUGUAGCUUCCUCCUGUGUGAAAUAGGAAUUUAUAAACAGUGCCAUAUGUGAUAAAAAUUAAGUCUCAUUUAUAUUUAUAACCAGAUUAUAAUGCUCCAAAUCCACAUUCCCUUCAGUAGCAGGAUUUUUUUUUCUCUUCAGAUCAUCAAAAUUUUCUGAGAAUUUAGGCUUUGCUCCUUACCUGAUAAGGGAGCAGCAGCAACCAACUGAUGCGGACUGCAGAACUGCCAGCUACACAAAAGACUUGACUAUCAUCUGGGAGUGUCUGGUAGUACCUGCUGUUCCCUCUUCCUCUGUGGGAUGAUGGGUUUGAGUCUUAGGUCCCCAUUUCAGAACUGGCCCCAAGCAUCCAAGACUAGAGUUAAAAUAAGAUCUUGACUUAAGUAGCCAGAGGGUAGAGGAUGUCCUUCCCUGUUAAACUUUACCUGUGGUACAUUGGACAGUAGGCGUCAGGCAUCAAAGACACAGGAUGAUAUUACCCCUUGCUCUUUGAUACUCUCAAACAUACAUAUUUUCCCUUGGGCACAAUCCCCAGGACUGAAUUGGAUGAAUGGAGAAUGAAGAUGGCAAGAAAACUUUAGAUAAACUCACAGCGGGCGAAUCUGUUAUGUUAGUUGGAAGCUGCCAGCUUUAUUUAGGACAGCUUCUUAACCUUUGUAGAUGCUAUCAAGCAAGAGCUGUGAUCUUGUAUAAACCAUUCCAAAACACAGCACUUGGUCCAAAUUGAAAUUUAAUCUCAGGCUCUUUUUUCUUAUUGAGUAGAAUGUACCAAGUUUGUUAAUGUUUUUCUUAGACCCUGUGAUACUGCAAAUUCUUCAGAUUAUAUGUGAUCUAUGUGCCUGGAAGACACAGACCGGUAAACAGUCUUUGAAACAUGUCAUUAACAAGAAAAGAGGAUGAUUUGUCUUCUGAAAACAUUUUCAUUCCAAGAGAAGGUAACAGAAGCCUGGACUUCUUAAGAGGAUACGGGAAGAUAAUUCUAAGGCAACUGCAGCAGGGUAAGAUCGUGAAAUACAAGUUUCACACAGAUUUCAACCCAUUAGGUAGCUUCAGAAAGAGAAUUCAGAUCUAGCGAAGUUGGUGGCUGAGCAAUGAAAUAUGGCUCAGCUAACAUGGUUUCUAAAUUUAAUGAUUUUUAAAAAUCAACUGAAAGUAAGUGGAGUUAGUGAGUUUGUUUAGAUUUUUCAUUGGAAACACAAUGAUAGAUACCUUUUUCUUUCUACUACAAUGAGUAUACCCAAGGCUGGAAAAUACAGCCGAUAAUAUAUCAGAGUGGACUCCAGUUUUUGAGCAAUUUUUGAGACCCCAUCCAAAGGACACAUGGAACAACAGCACAAGAAUAAGUUUUGCACAGACGUGGUACAAUGAGUUGGUGUUGCAAAUAGAUUUCAUUUUUGUUAAAUACUGGUUGGUCACGGCUACCAUAACAGAAUACAGAUUAGUAUAUUUAAACGAUAGAUACUAAUUUGCUCCUGGUGCUGAGGUUAGAAAUUCAAGAUCAAGAGGCUGUGAGGUUUUGUUGUCUCUAAGGCAUGUCUUCCUGCCUUGCAGAUGGUCACUUACCUGUUAUGUCACCCUGUGAAACACCCUUUGGACUGUGCAGUCCUGAUUCCAUUUUCGUGGGUGUUCAAAAGUUAGACAAGAUUAAGACUUACCCACAUGACUUUAUUUAGGCUGAAUAGCUGGUUGAAAGAUUCUGUUCUUAAUUGUGAUCUCAUUCUGUGUGAUUGGAGUCUAGUAUUUUCAAAUGUUAAUUUUAGGAGACUAAUAGAAAGAGCACAUGAUAUCUGAAUUGAGUUGCUUUUAUCUUCCUCUUACCAGUAUAAUCUCCUGUCCACAUUUUGAUAGUUGAGUAACCCCAAAGGCUCUACAGUUUGUGGAGGGACUGCAUCUCAUUUUCUUACAUUAACUCGAUGCCAGUAAAACUAGUGAUGGGAUGCUGUGUCCCAAACAAACAGCACAAAAGUCUUGAUAAUAUAAAAUAGGAUUUGAAGAGCUUUUUCUCAAUUUUAAAUGUCACCACGGAGCAAGUAAUAGAAAUAUUGAACAUAUGACUUUGAAAAGAUUCAUAAUAUUUACUUAAUUGCAUUUUCCUUUUAAGGAGAAAAAUUGGUAUCCAGGUUGUUCUUGGGAACGAAGAAUUAUACAAAUGAUAUUUUAAUCCUAGCACAGCUACUGAUUUGCUAUGUUAUAAACACAUCAUAAUAUAUUUACAAAUCUGCCAGCUAAGUAUAGAAAUUGCAAGAGGAAAAGCACUGGGUUUACGUUAUAAUAGGCUAAAAGAGCAAACAUUACACAUUUAUUUAGAAAUAGCAUGUUUAUUGUUAACUUCCACUAUUAAACUAACCCUCCCAAAUAAAACAUCUCUUAUUGGUGUGUGUGUGUGUGUGUGUGUGUGUGUGUGUGUGUGUGUGUGUGUAAAUGACCAAAGGUGGAUACAAAAGGAGAGCUGAAGCAUGGGCACAGAACCACAGCAACUAAAAUUAAUAUUAGAUAUUAAGAUGGUAAAUAUUUAGACCAUAAAUCUUGGAAUAUCAAGGUUAUCUGAAGGUCAGCUCCGACAUUUGUGCAAAAGGAGUAUGAAAGAGAUCAGUGUUGUUAAUCUUCGUUCCUUACCAAAAAAAUCUCUUUGCAAGAAAGUCAAGUAAUUCGUGAGGAUCUGUUUUUUUUUUUUUCAAUUUUUUUUCUCAACCAGUGUUGAGCAAAAUUAAAGACACUUAAAUCCAGAAAAUACACAGAGUAGCAGCCAAAUUUUAACCCUAUUGCACAACGUGUCAGAGGAACAACAGAAAUAAUUGCUGUCAGUUUGUACUUUUUUGACCAAUAAUUCUCUGCAUUUCCUGCUAGUAACUUGAGUGAUGCAAAUGACCUUAUUUUUACAGCAUGCUUUUAUUAAAUAGUUUAUUAUUUUGGCAGACUAAUAAAGAUUUUGGUAUUUGCUUUUAUUUGCAAUAAUAUUACCACCACAUAAAAAAGGAUUUUAUGUUCUUUUUGAGGAACAAGGAGGAUAAAAGUGGUGAUGGAUGGCACAACUGAGGCAUCAGCAAUGAGCUGGAAAUGAGACACAUAAAUAUGAAAGCAGAGCUAAGAAAAUAGAACUGCACCCUUGGCCUUUCUUAAAAGAACACGCACACUUCAUGGUUCAUUCACACCGUUACAGAAACUCCUUUUGUUUCCAGUGAGUCAGAGACUGCACGCAAAAAUCUGAAAAUGCUAUUUUUGCUCAUUCAAAACUAACGGAUUUCUUCUUUUUCAAUUAGACUUAUUCUGGGAAAAUUCUUCCAAGCUUUAUGAGGAGGUUUUGAUUUGUAAGGAAAAAAAUGGUGGACAUGGUGACUGAAGGGGAAUCAUUUUUUUUAUGAGUAUUUAGUAUGGAUCACAGUAAUGAAAGCUUAAACAUGGUAGAAUCUUUAUACAGUCAAUUGCAAUCACAGAGUAAAAGUUCUAAAUUAGAUGACUGGGCAAACAGUGUGAUAUUAGUAGAUCAUAGUUGGAAGAUAAUACACUAUUUGAUGUAAACUUGGGAGAUUAUAGUGUUAUAUCUUGCCCAUCACUGCAUGGGUUUUAUUUUUAAAAAUGUGAUUGCUUACAUGUAACUUCUGUUUUUUUACUAAUGUCCAUGUAUAAAUUAUGCGUGUCAGAUAUUAGAUUUAUUGUCAGAAGGAUGUGUCUGGUAUUGGUGUUAUCUUUUUCAUCAUUAACUCUUUCCUCUAUUGUACAGCUUAAUUGUUAUCAUAAAUGGAAACAGACUGUACCCAAUAAACUAAAGGAAAAGGUGAGUGUCCUAUGAGUGACCAGAACCUGACUUAGCACAAAAGGGCUUUUUCAGUUCAGUAAUAUUCAGAUGUGGGACUUGUUUCCUUUUUGCACUGAACUACAGCCAGUAGAGGGAAAGAAGGAGAAAGUUAAUAUACGAUGAGCUGAGAAAGCCACUGCUUCGUUAUCGACAAGAUUCGAAUCUUCCAGAGGGAGAAAGCUCUACCAUUUGGACCCUUUUCGCAGAGGCUUACAAUAGACAUGCUUCUGACAAGAGGUUGUUGGUAGCAGAACAGACUUAACAAUUAAUGGUAUGCCAAGGCUGAGUUCAGAGAAUUGCUUUACCCAAUGCCAAUCAUUCAUUCCUGGCAGUAACUCUUCACAUCUUUCCUGGGAUGCCAUCCAACCACAGUGGCAUCUAAAAUAUAUCGAGCAGUGUUGUUACAGUUGGAGGUGAAAUUGAAAUUUGCGCCAAACAGAAGUGACAAAUUCACAUGGCUGAGUGUUGCCUAGCAAUCAGGUCCAAGGGGGAAUGUGGCAAUUCUGCCUUUACCCAUGAGUGUGUGGGAGCGGGGAAAAGAAACAUUUACAUUAGGCUUUGGAUGGUUUCACAAGCGAAGCCAGGUACAUAAAAGGCUUUCUUUUAUUACCAGGGCAUACAGAGAAGUCUGGGAAAGGGGACAGCAGGCUGGGGUUGGUGGCAUAAGCAGCUUUAGAGGCUGAGGCUCUCAGCAGUGAACCUGGGGGAUGGGGAGAGCAGCAGGGUGCCAAGAUGCCAGACUUGAUGCUCAAAUUGAUGGCAAUUGGCCAUCCUACUGCCUUUUGACUGCAGGCCUCUUGAUGCACCUCUGUUCAGCUCUCACUUGGCAGCUGGGGGGACCCCAGGGUACAGUGAGCAAAUGGCGGAUUUCUCGUCUCAGAAAUCCACCUGAAAGCAAAGUUCCCAGUGGGCAGCCUGACAUAGGAGACAUUGGAAGAAAAGGGGUACUAAGGCUGAAGUUCUUAUUGUAUGUACCUAUUUAUUUGGAUGUCUUUUUGGUGGUGGUGUUGCUUUGAGGGGAGUUCCUCAUCUUACCUGUUUUCUAUUUGUCCCUGGGAAAUAAAAUUUGACAUACCUGACCCUACCCUCAGGUGUAUGAAAUGACCAUAAACUCAAUCCUUCAUGAAUGGAGGGACAUGGGGAUAAAUCAAAAUAGCAGCCCUAAAUUGAAGAGGCUUCAAUGUACUGUUCGGCACUCAUUCACAGAGAUAAUUUGAACGGGGGCUUCUACAUUCUUUAUUUAGAAGAGAGAGAGAGUUCUAUAAAUAUGGAAAUAGACAGCUCUGGUAAUGAAAAUGCCUGGGAGGUGUGGGCAGCUGCCAUUGACCCUUUCUCUAUGGUCAACAUUGGUUGUUCUUUUUCUUUUGAACUGCUGGACCUCACCAACACCCUAAACCUACUGUUCCCAUCUAUAUAUUAAGCAAAAGUCUUCUGUUUUGCAGUGUCUCAUCUCACAAGCCCGUUUUCACUGAGUCAGGUUUGAGUGAGUCCUUAUCCUCAGUCUUACAAACCUUCAGCACCAUGUUUAUAGAUGCUGAUUAAACUUAUCUGGAAUCUACUAUGUUCUAAGAUCUCUAAUACAGGAUGAUUUCUAAAGUAACAUCAGACGAAUGCAAAGUGCUAUGAAAGCACUUUUGUUGCCCCUCCUUGUCUAGUGUUCACUUGACAAUACAUGUUUAAUAAAUGCCAGUACACAAUUGGAUGUACUGAAUAAAUGGGUGGAUUGGUGAUGACUAGCAAACAAACAAAACGCCAUAUCUGGGUUUAAAGUAUUCGGGAUUGGGAAGUCCUUAGUGGAAGAACACGGGCCGUACAGGCAUGAGAAUCGGGGUUUUGCUAGCUUAGCUCUUAGGUUAAAUCCUGGCAGACAGGCCCAUGCUUCAACCCCACCAUCACGAGAUGUUGAGUCUGAUAUGGAGGGCUCACUGGUUUGGAAUCUAACUCAAGUGACAAACUUCAUGUCCAGUGAGAGACCUUGCCUAAAAUCAAAUUAAAUAUGUAAGUGGAAGGUACUUGAUAUUGAACUUUGGCCUCCAAACAUGCCUGCUUGUACAAGUGGCACACACACACAUAACACAUACACAGGCAUGCUUGUAUAAAAUAUGCACAAAUAAAUAAUUAAGAGACUAUUGCAUCACAAAUUUGUCAAAUAAUUGUAGUAACUAGGCAUUUCUGACUCCUUUUUGUUAUGUUAAAUUUUUUAAAAAUUUUUAUUGGAUUUUUAAAUUUACAUUUUCAAUGUUAUCUCCUUUCCUAGUUUCCUGUCCUCCAUCCCAUGCCCCCUCCCUCUUCUUCUAUGAGGUUGUUCCCCCACCCAACCACCCACCCCUUCCCACCUCCCUGUCCUGACAUUCCUCUACACUGGAGGGGUCCAGCCUUGGCAGGAUGAAGGGCUUCUCCUUACAUUGGUGCCCAACAAGGCCAUCUUCUGUUACAUAUGGAGCUGGAGCCAUGGGUCUGCCCAUGUCUAUUCUUUGGACAGUGGUUUAAUCCCUGGGAGCUCUGGUUGGCUGGUAUUGUUGUUCUUAUGGGGUUGCAAACCCCUUUAGCUCCUUCCAUCCUUCCAUCCAGACAAAUUUAUGUAUGUUUGAGGCCAGCCAUGGAGGGUUGUCCACAGUGAGAACCUGCCCGAAGUUGUAGGAAUUGCACAUGAGAUUCGCCCUCUACAUUUUUAAAAUGUAUAUAGAGUAUUGUAUACAUAAGCACCAGGCUAUACAUCAGAGCUCUAGAAUUCUUUUGUCCUGUAUGACUUAUGCUUUGUAGUUCCUGAUUCAUUUUAGCCUGCCCUACUUUUGCCUUUAGGAGUUUGCCUCAAUUGACAUAGCUCAUAUACGUGGGUCCAUGCUGUAAUACCUAUGACACUUAACACAAUGUCUCCCCAGCAUUUCCAUGUUGAAUCACAGGGAGGAUUCCCUUCUUUCUGAGGCUGAGUGAUGGUCCCGGAUAUGUGUUCAUUGUGUUCGCUCUGCCCAUCCUCUUAUGGGCAUUUAUAGUAUUUCUGCAUCUUAGCCGCUGUACCUAAAGUUUUAAUGAAUUUGAGAAUGCAAAUGAGUCUUCGAGACCCUGAUUUCUAUACUCUUGGAUACUUAUUCAGAAGAGGGAAGACAAGAUCAUACAGGAAUCAAGAGCGGCUACCCAUUCUGUAUUGCCAUCAGGAGUAUGCACACAUUCUGCAUCCUCCACAUUCCCCACCAGCUCUCUGCUGUUUGGUUUGGUUUAUGAUAGUUGACCAUUCCAUCGGGUAUGAAUUGAAAGUUCAUUAUGAUUUUGAUUUGUAUUUCCUUCAUGAUUGGUAAUAUUGAAUUUUCUAAUACUGCUAUCCAUAUUUAUGUCUCCUUGGAGAAUAUUGUUUUAUGUCCUUGGCCCAUUUUUAAUUCAGAUUUUUAGUGUUCUUUGUUGUUGUUGUUGUUGUUGUUGAAUUGUAGGAGUUGCUUAUAUUUCUAGAUGCGAAUGUCAAUCACACGAUUUUUAAAUUUACCCUCCCAUUGAGCAGAGUGUAUCCUCUGUCUUCACUUUGCUCUCCCGCCCUGCCCCGUGUGUGUGUGUGUGUGUGUGUGUGUGUGUGUAUGUGUGUGUGUGUGUGCGUGCGUGCACGUGCACAUGCACGCACGCACCUUCUCCAUGGAUGGAGUUCUGACUUGUGUAUUCUUUCUUUGGUUAAACCCAUGCUUUUGGUAUCAAAAUUAAGACACCAUUAGAAAGAUAAAUGUGAAGAUUUCCAUCACGUUUUACUGUUUAAACAUUCUUCAAUCUUUUUCAUACAUUAAUGACAAGCUUCGCUAUAUUGCUCAGGAUGGUUUCAAAUUCAUGUGUUCAAGAGAAUCUCCUGAUCUCAGGCUCCUGUGCACUUGAAUCUGAAGGCAUGUUUCACAGCCCCCAAAUCCCGUUCAAUUCUUACAGUUGUGCUUUUAAGAAAUUCUGGAUUGAUAUUUAAGUAUGGUGUAUGAUUAGGAUUUCACACCAUUUUUCAUGUCUAUUUUUCUCUGUAUCAGUUAUUGGAGGCUGUCCUUUAAUGGUUUAUAGUUUUGGUUACGCUUAUUAAAAAUCUUUGUUUCUCUGUGACUCUGUUCUUUUUUCUCCAGACUAUUAGGCUCUGUUGACUUUUAUGUCUGUUUCUAUAUCAACAUUUUUCUGUUUGUUAUGAUCUCUACAGAUUCAGAAACUAUUGAAAUUAACAAGUAUUAUUUUUUCAAAGGAUUUUAAAGAAAUUCUAUGUUAUUUGUAAUGUUAUGCAAAUUUUGGUAUUAUGGUUCUUUUUUAAAAUAAAAUUAUUAAUCUCUGUGGUGUGUGUGUGUGUGUGUGUGUGUGUGUGUGCGCAUGUGUGUGUGCAUGUGUGUAAGGAUAUGUAUAUGUGAGCCAUGGCAGGAAUAUAGAUUUCAGAGGACAACUUUACUGAGUCUUUUUUUCUAAUUUUCUAUGGAUUCCAGAGGUAGAAUUCAGGUCACCAGCUUGGGCAAAAAGUGAAUUCUGUAGACCACUUGAAAUAACAUUUUCAUUAAUAAUAUUGUCUUCAAAUCCAUGAGACAAGAUAUAUUUUAUUUGAGGCUUUUGUAAAUUGGAUAUGUAGCUUUAAUUUUCUUUCAGUAUUAUUUGCUGUGAGUGUAUAAGAACUCAAUGCUUAUCAAUUUUGUGUCCCAUUUUUCUGUGUUCAUUUAUUAGUUUAUUGGUUUUUAGGAUUUGGGUAGAAUCUUUAGGGCUCUUUAGCCAUAACGAUUUUUAAUGUCAUUUGUAAGCAGAGGUAACUAUAUUGCUCUCUUUGGUUUUUACCUUUAUAAAUAAAUAAAGUAUUUAAGUCUCACACUCAUGCAUAAAUAUGUUUUUGCUGAAUUGCAGAAUUGUCUACUUCAUAUUUUUGAAUUACAGGUAAGUCAAACUUAGGAGGAUGAAACUUCACACACAGAAGGUACAUUUAUAGGGAAGCUUAUUUCAUUCUAUGAGAAAUAAACAGGGUCUGUUUUCAUUAUAUUAAGAUUUGUAAAAUCAUAAACAGAAACACCAAACACUACCCAGGAAAGAGAUGCUAAAUCCUAUCUGUCACUGUCAUUUUAGACUGCCCUUCCUCCACAUGGGUGAGCUUCUCUUACCUUCACCUUUCCACUGCUGGGUGGCAUUUGCCCAUCUGUCAUUUUACUCACAAAACAAUGAUGUCUCCAUACCUCAUACUUCUCUGGAGAAAUGUACAUAUAUUUUUGUCCCCGUCCUUUCCUUUUUAUUAAAGUUAUAAUAGAGCAAGUAAGUUAAGAACAAUAUGACAAAUGUUUUAUAUGUUAAAUUCCUUACUCUGAACCCCAAAGGAAAAUGCUGCUGUGGUUGUUUUCUGAUUAUUACAUAGAGGCAUUAAGAGAUCGAUCUAAAUUCUUUCAUCCAAAAAUGUGAGAGAUUUGAAUUCAAACCCAGAGCUCAGCCUUUCUCCAGAGUGGUCUCAGAUUACAACCUGCUGCCUCAUUUUCUCUGUGCUACUCCUGCGCCACACUCCCUAAGUGGUAGAAAUGCUCAGAGUGAUAGCAUCCCCCUUAGGAGCCUUCAGCAAAUGACUGUGUGUGUUGCGAGUAGUUAAAGGCUCACACAAAUACUCUGAGAUGUAGCAUCUGAUUAAAAGAUCUGAAAUCUCAGAAAUGAAGUUCUGAGGAUAUGAAGCAAGGCCCCUGGCUUGUUUUUAUUUUUUAGCACAUAGCAUCAAACUCAGAGCCCAGUAAUCUCAACCCAGGGUUAUUUGGCUACUGAGAAACACUAAGCUAUAUUGAGUAAUUCGUGGAUUUUAAAGUUAAUAUUCCAAGGUGUCAAAGGAAAGUAUUUAUCUACAAUUAUAAGUCGACAGAGUGCUUGAAAAGAUGUUUUUAAACCAUUGGUUAGCAUUCUUUAGGUCAAUAAGAUUGCAGACAGGUUCCUCAAUACCCAGAAACCUCUUUGAUUGACAGAUAGAACUGUGUAACGAAAUGGGAAACCAAAUAUUACUUAAAUGCAUUUAAUAUUAAAAGUAUUUCUGGCAUGGAUGUUAAGAAGUAUUAUAAACCAUAAAAGCUGUACUUGUCCAUCUGAUAAAAUGUUGAAAGCUCUCAACUACUCAUGUGAUUUUUCAAUUUUGAGUUAAUUGAAGCUGGGCAUGUUGGCACACUUCUUUAGUCCCAGCUCUUAGGAGGCACAGGCAGGAACAUCUCUAGGAGUUCAAUGCUAGCCUGGUCUACAUACAAAGCUAGUUCCUGGCCAGUCAUAUUAUAUACACACUCCCUCAAAACAGACAGGCAGCCAAAAACAUUAAGUGAACAGGUUCAAGUGUUGGUCUCCAAAUAUUCUCAGUUUUAAGCAAACGUCGCUGUUAUUUGUCACCGAGCUACCUCUUACACCGACCGCCCUUUAAUGCUGAUUCUGCUGCUCAGCUUCUCUGACAAGUAAUACGCAGUCGAAAUUAGGUCACUGCAGGUAGAUUUCCAGGAAUUUAAGUCCAACCUGGUCUACAUAAGAGAGUUCUUGGUCAACCAGGGCUACAUAAUAAGACUUUGUUUAAAAAAAAAUCCCUCCCUCUCUAAAAAAAGAAAGGAAGGAAGAAAGGAAGGAAGGAAGAUAGGAAGGAAGGAAGAGAAAAGAAAAGAGAAAAAGUAUUGCCACUGAAUGAAUGUCUGUUUUACAUGAAGGAAGAUUGCUUUUCUAGUGAAAGCUGAGUACACUUAGUUUCUUUGGGCUGGAGUGUACAUACAAUCGAAGGUACUAUACAUAGGACGAUUGCCAAGUUAAAAGACAGAAUGAAAAGUCUGCAAAUCCUGCUGGGGAAUAUUUCUUUAUGUGCCUAAUAGCUACAAUGUACUCACAGAUUUGUGCAGAAUAUAAUUUGGCUUAUACUAUCUCUGGCUUCACUAUAGCAUUCAGCAGGGUGCUGAACCUGUGGUAGUUACUCAGUAAGAUUCCUCAGCUGACUGCGUGGAAAUGCAAAAUAACCAUCAAUGUGGAGAACAUCUCACAGAAUUGACAUUCCCACUGCUCUACAACUGUGCUUGUGACCCUUAACCUUGAGAACUGCUGCUCAGGCUGGAGAGAUGGCUCAGCAGUUAAGAAAACUGGCUGCUCUUCCAGAGGUCCUGAGUUCAAAUCCCAGCAACCACAUGGUGACUCACUACUGUCGUUAAUAGGAUUGGAUCCCCACGUCUAGCAUGCAGCAUUAUUGAUUGAACUCCGAGCCCUGUGCACACCAGCCAAGCACUCUACCUCCGAGGCUGCUUCCGUGGACUCAUAAUUUCUACUUUAGAAACUCUAUUUUUAAAAAUAUUGCUAUUGCUGGCUUAUUAUGAGGAGUGCAACUGAAGAACAGCCAUAAAAGAAAGGGAUGGCCUAUCAAGAUGUCCAAAGGAAAGAAGGCCAAGGGGAAGAAGAUGUUGGCUUCGGCUCCCAACAUCCGGAAGAAACAGGAGGCCACAAAGAAAUGAAGGUGUAAGCUCUCAGCUACUGUUCCGGUGCCAUGACUGUCUGCCUGAUCCCGUGCUUGCUGCCAUGAUUAUAGAUGCCCCCUAAAAGUGAAGGAGCCUAACAUGGAUGUCCAUUGAGAGGUUCUAUCAGCAGCUGAUCGAGACAGAUGCAGAUACAACCAAGCAUUGAGAGAGUUUGGGGACCCCGAUGAAAAUGUUAAGGUAGACUGCUACGUAGGAAAGAGGAAGCCGGGGGGAGUAAGGAAGAAAACCAAGCAGGAGACCAAGGCUAAAGCAUUUGACCCUGGUAGUAUAUCAGGGCCACAGAACAACUGGGAACAGACUCUACAUAUUUUUGUCUUGUGGCUUAAAUCAAAGAACAUUGGAAUAUGCUUCUUCUUCAAGGUAGGCUUUGGGGAAAUUAGAGGUGCAGCCUCAGGGAAGGUUCGGCAUCCCAAAAGAAGAGAAGGAACUUCUGGCUUUGAUCCAAGAAGGCAGAAGAGAGGCAAGAGACCCGACUCUCUGGAGUAGAUGUUUGAAACAUCUGCUUUUGCACUUAUACCUUGGGUAGUGUCCAGUACUUGAUGUCUAAAAAGAAAAAAAGCCCAACUUUUAUAUUUUCAUUUGCUAAAUCAUUAAAAUCUGGAAACUACCCUCCCUAAUACCUUUUACUCUGGCACAAUUCCUCCCUUUUGAAACCUGGUCCAUUCAACUUUAUUAAGUUAAGCAGAGCUUGAAAAAUAAUAAAAAUAUUUCUUCUACUAAGGUCGAUGAUACAUAAGAAUCGAAAGCUUGCAAAAUUUCAGUUAUGAUAGAGUGUGCCAAGAGGACCUAAAAGUGUUUCUGGAGGAUAAGAAGUAAUUUCAGAUAUUCUAAUGGUUCUUAGUUGUACUGAUAGAAUCCAUAAUUUAUUUAUUUGCAAUGCUAACAUUCAAAUCCACAAAAUAUUGACUUUUAUUAGCUCUUUUAACUUUCUUUAGGUCAAGAAAUGUCAUGUGAUGGACAUGGUAAAUCAAGAAGAGGAACAAAAUACGAGUACAAACCUUCCAUUUAUAAUGCUUCACUCUUACAAUGGGUACCAGGGAACUUACCCCCAAGAGAAGUAACCAGUUACAGACACUGAAGGUUGCCCUCAGUGUUUGCUUUGAGUCACCAAGAAUAAGUUUUGUUUCUGAGAUAGUAGUUUGGAUCAGAGUGUUCUAUACACUGUUCUCUAGUUGGGAUGAAAAUACUCAAUAAUAGAAAGUUUUCUAGUGUUUUCCUCUAGAUACUUUGAGACAUUUAAUUGGAUCAUAACACCUCUGUUCUGGGAGGGACUAAAAUAACCGCUCCGUUAUAGUUUAGUCUUUGCCUGUUCCACAAAGCUCACGUGUUGAGUUUGUUCGAAACUCUAGGAGGUGAAGCCUACUUUGGGGAGGUGAGUCAUAUGUAGCACACACUUGAAUGCCAUACUGUUCCUACCCCUUCUCUUGCCCUAUCUGCUCCAUGACCACUAUCAUGUGAACACCUUUUCUCCACUACCCUGUGAUUUUUGCUCUAUCCAGAACCAAAUUAUGGACCAUGAUAUCUGAAAAAGAGAACUAAAAGAAAGCUUUCUUAUUUUUAAGUUGUUUAUGUAACAAUGAUGGAUUGAUUAAUUGAUUUGAUGCACAAAUCAAACCUUUCAAUUUUAAAUCUCAUCUUUUCUCAGAAAUUUCAUGUCUGUUUCCUCAUGGCUAAGUUGUUCAUGUUGUCACUAGCUCCCUUUAAUCAGUGAUCCCUCCUUUCUCAGUUUUAGUUUUUUUCAGAACCUCCCUUGAGCAAUACAAUUUGGAAUAGCUACUUCACAAGUACAUCCACAUGUAAACAUUUUUAUUUACUUAAUUAUAUUAAGCUAAUUAUUUAUUAUAUAUUUAAAUUAAUAUAAUAAUAUUUUCAAUGGAGAGAAUCAUAAUAUUAUAGAUGGAAGGGAUAUGCACUUUAGAAAUAUAGAUGCUAAAACUUCCACAGCCAACUUGUUUGAGGACACAGGGAGGAUAACCCAGGUGUAAAUCACGCUGUUGGUGAGUCGGAGGAUCUCUGCAGAGAACCUCACUGAGUCACCAUCUCUUCUGAGUCAUGUUUCUACUCUGUGUAUGGAUAGCAAUUAAACACUGAAGUCUUAAGUUUGUAUUUUAUGAGACACAAUUAAUAAAGUAGGGUUUUCAUUUUAGAAAAUGAAAAAAGAAAACUACAAAAUUAUAAGAAUGAGGUCGAAGGAAAAAAAACUCUCACUAUUUAAAUGGGAGCUUCAAAUCUAAGAGCUAACAGAGACUGAUUUGUUAUUUUGAACGUUUAUGAGCUAGAUAACCUUAUUGUCAUAUGUUGGUAGUUCCAGCACUCAGGAGGGGGAGCAGGGAAAUCAUAAGUUUGAGGCUACCUUGAGCUAUAAACAAACAAAGAAACAAGCAUGAAAGGGCUGAUAUUGCCUCCCCUCAGUGUUUACCCAGCAUCUGAGAGGCUUCUCUGAUUUAAAAAAGUAACAUAACAUUAAAAGAAAAAGAAGGCAGGAAGGCGGGAAGAGAAAGGGGGGAGAGGGAGAGACAGAGACAAAGAUAGGAGAGAGAGAGAGAGAGAGAGAGAGAGAGAGAGAGAGAGAGAGAGAGAGAGAGAGAGAGAGAGACAGAGAGAGAGAGAGAGAGAGAGAGAGAGAGAAUGAGAGAAA